CUAAAGAUCUGAGCAUUAGUGGCG
rnacentral:miRNA from 1 species